rnacentral:rRNA from 1 species
UACGUAGGGGGCAAGCGUUGUCCGGAAUCAUUGGGCGUAAAGCGCGUGUAGGCGGCCCGGUAAGUCCGCUGUGAAAGUCGGGGGCUCAACCCUCGAAUGCCGGUGGAUACUGUCGGGCUAGAGUGCGAAAGAGGCGAGUGGAAUUCCUGGUGUAGCGGUGAAAUGCGCAGAUAUCAGGAGGAACACCAAUGGCGAAGGCAGAUCUCUGGGCCGUAACUGACGCUGAGGAGCGAAAGCAUGGGGAGCGAACAGG